rnacentral:rRNA from 1 species
AUUGAACGCUAGCGGGAUGCUUUACACAUGCAAGUCGAACGAGUGGCGGACGUGUGAGUAAUAUAUCGGAACCUGCCCAGUAGCGGGGGAUAACUACUCGAAAUAGUUGCUAAUACCGCAUACUAUUUGAGCCUCCGAUAUCGGAUUAGCUGGUUGGUGGGGUAAAGGGUCACCAAGGCCACGAUCCGUAGCUGGUUUGAGAGGACGACCAGCCACACUGGGACUGAAAUACGGCCCAGACUCCUACGGUAGGCAGCAGUGGGGAAUGUUGCACAAUGGGGGAAAGCCUGAUCCAGCCAUCCCGCGUGUAUGAGAAGGCCUUCGGGUUGUAAAGUACUUUUGGCAGGGAAGCGGUAUCUGCAGAAUAAGCACCGGCUAACUACGUGCCAGCAGCCGCGGUAAUAC